rnacentral:sRNA from 2 species
UACAAAGUUUUCUAGGGUUCCGCGGGCGGCCUGCUUCCCGGUCUGGACCAAGAGAAGACGCACAGCUAAAGACUGUGUUCACGGAGGGAUAAAAGCCCGGGAGAU